rfam:Homo sapiens chromosome 2, GRCh38 reference primary assembly.
AUCCUUUUGUAGCUUGUAAGCGUGAUGAUUGGAUGUUUGCAGGAGCGUGUGUGAUGUGCCACCUCGCACCUUGCUACAACAUCGGCACAGUAGCUGUGUGACA